rnacentral:rRNA from 1 species
GACGAACGCUGGCGGCAUGCCUAACACAUGCAAGUCGAACGAGACCUUCGGGUCUAGUGGAGCCAGGGUGCUUAACGCGUGGGAACCUGCCCUUCGGUUCGGAAUCACUCCCCGAACGGUGUGCUAAUACCGGAUAAUGUCUUCUGACCCAAGAUUUCUCGCCUGUGGAUGGGCCCGCGUUGGAUUAGCUAGUUGGUAGGGUAAAAGCCUACCAAGGCCACGAUCCAUAGCUGGUCUGAGAGGAUGAUCAGCCACACUGGGACUGAGACACGGCCCAGACUCCUACGGGAGGCAGCAGUGGGGAAUAUUGGACAAUGGGCGAAAGCCUGAUCCAGCAAUGCCGCGUGAGGGAUGAAGGCCUUAGGGUUGUAAAGCUCUUUUAGCCGGGAUGAAAAUGACAGUACCGGGAGAAUAAGCUCCGGCUAACUCCGUG